rnacentral:tRNA from 1 species
GCCCGGGUGGUGAAAUGGUAGACACAGGGGACUUAAAAUCCCUUGCUCGAAAGAGCGUGCGGGUUCGAGUCCCGCCCUGGGCA